rnacentral:lncRNA from 1 species
ACGUUCUGUAAAACGAGGACAUGGGAGGAAGCAGAUCAAGGAGGAGCGACACCGCAUUCCUGUCCAAGAAGGAAAAGAUAUGCCUUGAAAUAGACCAGAGAAUAAACAAGACUCAAAACUUCAAGCAAGUCGGGCGCAGUGGCUCAGCCUGUAAUCCCAACACUUUGGGACACCGAGGCGGGGGAGGAUCAUUUGAGCCCAGGAGUUUAAGACCAGCGUGGGCAACAUAGUGAGACCUCAUCUCUACAAAAACUACAAAAAUUAGCCGGGUGAGAUGGCACGUGCCUGUAG